GGGAAACGGGAAAUGGAUAUGCGAUUUGGAAAUUUUCAGACAGCGAUGGUUGCUCUUUUUUUGUUUUUGUCUCUUUUUAUUUUUUGCGGCUAGGUUAUUAUUAAUAAUGAUGUGGAGGGGUUGGUCUGUACACGAUAAAUCCAUAUUUACUCGCAUAUACUCCUUCCGUUCCUAAAUAUAAGACAUUUUAAAGAUUUCACUAUGGACUGCAUAUGGAUGUAUAUAGACAUAUUUUAGAAUAUAGAUUCACUCAUUUUGCUCCGUAUGUA
rnacentral:lncRNA from 1 species